AGGACAGCUCGCCAUUCCAGACAGCAGUCUGACCCGCAGAAUCAGAACACUGAAGAAAAUUCAUUCAAUUACACCGAAAACUCUGAAUAAAAUGAGAAACGAAACGCAAGACCACAAUGUACUUCCUCCAUCAGGGAUGUGUUUUCCUGUUUACACAUUGGAUUUCCUCAGAUAUCAGCGCGGAAAGGCAAUUAAAAAAAAGAUGACAGAAACAUUUCGGCAUUCUGCGAGAAAAAAAACUGACUCCUAACAAUGAUUUUAAAAGAUCCCUCCCCAGCCCCUCACACUGCACACCGGAAGCGGCCAGAAUUAAAAACUUGACGGAUCCGAGGACUGUGUCACAACAAAUGAUUAUCAACGGGUGAGAAACUUGACAUUUACUGAUGAGAAAUGUCAAAGUAUAAUUUUCGUCUUAUAUAUCUACAUUUCUCCUUAGACUGGUUUGUGACUGCUCAAGUAAUCGUUACAAUGGGUAUCAAAAUAUGUAGACAAUCGUCAUAUUAGCAUGACAGGAAGUCCAUUACAGUAAGGGAGAUUUGUUUCCAACGUUACUUGAUAAAGGCAUAUGGCAACAAUAUUCAAGUACUGUAAUAAACAGUAAGUGCAGUAUAUAAAUAAAAUGCUCACUAAAUUAUAAAA